UAGUUUAAUGGUCAGAACAUUGGUGCGUAAAGCCAAAGCUCCCGGGUUCGAUUCCCGG
rnacentral:tRNA from 1 species